rnacentral:rRNA from 1 species
GAUGAACGCUAGCUACAGGCUUAACACAUGCAAGUCGAGGGGGCAGUAUGAACUUAGCUUGCUAAGUUUGAUGGCGACCGGCGCACGGGUGAGUAACGCGUAUCCAACCUGCCCUUUACGCGGGGAUAGCCUUCUGAAAGGAAGUUUAAUACCCGAUGAAUUCGUUUAGUCGCAUGGCUUGAUGAACAAAGAUUUAUCAGUAAAGGAUGGGGAUGCGUCCCAUUAGCUGGUUGGUGGGGGUUAAACGGCCCCACCAAGGCGACGAUGGGUAGGGGUUCUGAGAGGAAGGUCCCCCCACAUUGGAACUGAGACACGGUCCAAACUCCCUAACGGGGAGGCAGCAGUGAGGAAUAUUGGUCAAUGGGCGCGAGCCUGAACCAGCCAAGUAGCGUGGAGGACGACGGGCCCU